GCAGAUAAGGAAAAGGUAGGAGACGCUAGUGUUAACGAGGCAAAAUCAAAGCUAUCUAAUGGAAAAACAUCGCCAAUAAUAUCAAUAAAGAAAGAGCCAGUUGAAGAUAGUGAAAAUAAAGUUGUUACUUUAGAAGAACAAGUGGCGAAAGAAAUCAUUGAGGAUCUUAAAUCAAAGAAUGAACAUGAAACUAAAACAAAUGAUUUAACCUUACCUUUAGUAGAAGAUGAAUCACUAAGAGGCAAAGAACAGUCUACGUUAGAAGAUUAUGAAAAAAUUCCUAUUGAUGAUUUUGGUGUAGCAAUGUUACGGGGAAUGGGAUGGCAACCAGGAAAGGGAAUUGGUUGAAAUGAAAAAUUAGUAGCAGCUGUCAUACCAGAAUUACGAUCAAAAGGUAUGAAAAUACAGAUACCAAAAAUACAGAUUCCAAAAAAGAAGAGGAAGAAGUUAAAAUGGAGAAAGGAACAUUUGUGAAAAUUAUAGCUGGAAAACAAAGUAAUAAUUAUGGUCAAAUAGAAGGAUUCGAUGAUGAUGCAGGAAGGCUCAUAAUAAAACUAGCUCUUGGUGGAAAUAUAAUAUCUGUAAAUGAAUUUAUGAUACAAAAAAGUAUGAGGAAUAUAAGGACAAGGAAUCCAAGGGACUCGAGCAAAAGAUGGAUAGAAAAAGAUCAAUGUCCCCUGACCCCGAAGACGGUGAAGAUGGUGACAAAAGUAGUAAUAAAAGAAAGAAAAUCGGAAGUACGAUGCACAAUAAGAACAAGUAUGAUAAAGUGGGGGAUAAAAAAUCAGAAAGACGAAAAAGGCGCUCCGAAUCUAAUGAUGACAGCGAUAGUGAUUCUGAAAAGAAGAGACGGAGAGAAAGAAGUAACUCUAAUAGGAAUGAUUCUUAUAAAUUAAAAAGAUUGAAAAAGUCAAAGAAAGAUAAGAAGCACGAUUGCUCAUCCGAAAGAUCAAGUAAAAAACAUAAAAAGAAAGACAAAGAAAGAGAAAACGUUAGAGAUAAGAAACCCAGAGAUUACGCAGACAGAAAGAAACACAAAAGACGAGAAAGAUCAAGAUCUCGAUCAUUUAGUAGGCAGUAAUAUUUUCCAGGGACGUAUUCGGUCAUUUUACUUUCAAGAUAAAUUGUACAAUUUUAUUUAUACAGAUUUUAUAAUAAAGUGUAUUUUUACAAAAUA